rnacentral:lncRNA from 1 species
AGUGCAGCUCAGAGCCCUUCCGGUUUACAGCCGCGGAAAAACAACUCGGACCAGAUCCGGGAGGGGAAUGGGGGCUGGGUGGCCAAAAUUCAGUCCAGAGGAUCGAAGCGGCUGCUUUAACAGAAGUUGGGGCUGCGUAACAACAGCUCCAAGCAAAGCUUCAGGCUGAUCGGAAAGAUGAGGAAGCAGAAAAGAGACUAAAGACAGACGGACAGGAUGGCUGGGGACAACGACAGGGACCCAGUGAAAAUACGGGCAAUACCGAGGGCUGUAACCCUAACACGGGCAAAUUUGGAGGGGCUAACAUGGGCGGAAACCAUCCGUACCAGUCACCACCACUGUCUCCAGCUGUCCCAGAACCGGACUCUUCCUGCCAUCAAAAUGGCGGCGGCGACGGCAGCGGUGGUAGCACCUACGCUGGCGGUGAGCAGGCAAAGGAAGUUGCUUCCGAGCGCGUCGAAACGAUGAUGCGCACGCGCAAAGUAGGCCUACGUGGAGCCGACCUGCCAUUGGGUAAACGCAAGGGAGGAGAAAAGGCUCCAUACCUACCUAACAUCUAUCUUCUCAAGAACUCUGCCAGGGAAGGAGUAGUUUCUGUGUUUCAUAAACAGACUGAGACUCAAAGAGGCUAAGUAAACUACCUGAAGCCAUAUAUAGCAACACACAAUGACGGAUAAAACACUAGAUCUGAAUAACAAAGGAUGCAUACUUAAGCAAACUAAGGCAUAUAUAGUUAUCACUAAAUGCUCAACCUGGAAAGAAUACUGGAUUGCAGUCUGCUUUUUCUGUAAAGACAAUAGUAUUAUAAAACCGAAAGAGACAACAGGGAAUAUUUCCCACUCAACUAAGCAUAUCUAAAAGCACAUUUGAAGUUUGGAGACAAUAUUCUGUGUUAUUUUAAGAAAAGAUUCUAUAGCAUUAUUACCUGGUGGUAAGAAAAUAACAUGUAAAAGAAAAGGUAAUAAGAAUAAAAAAAAUAAGUAAAAGUAUGUGAACAUGCUAGACCUG